UUCCUCUCACUGUCCUCUGUCUACUAACACAUUCAGUUUGUGUGUCUCUGUCUCUUCCUCUCACUGUCCCCUGUCUACUAACACAUUCAGUGUGUGAAUUCUUGCUCCAUCAGGCCUGCCACAGCUAUCCAUACCAAACCAAACAGAAUGAGAUUUACAUGAAAAUGCAUUUAUUUCCUAAAAAAUACCACAGAUUUCAAUUAGAGAGAGGAAUGCUUGUGCACUACUGGUGAUGAUUAAAACUGUGAGUUGGAGUAACUGUGUAUAAUACACUCUUAUUACAAUAAACUAGUCUGGCAAAGUUUAAGGAGGGGCCAGAGCAGAAGGAGGAGCCUGAACCAAAGGAGGGGCCAGAGCAGAAGGAGGGUCUGGAAUGAGAGCCAACGUGGCGGAAGCCUGCGUGAUCCAGUCCAGAUAGCCCUUCAGGUCUUCCUCAAGUUGCUGCUUCUCCCGCAGCUUCUGGAAGUCUCCCCGAGCCUUCGCCUUCUCACGCUCCUUAGAGAACUCGCUGGGUGCUGCCAGGACCGAAAGGACAAAUUUCGGCUUGAGCUAGCUGUGAGAUCUACGGUCUCCAUGGGGAGGGAGAGGAUGACGUGAGGGAAGAGAGCGCGACGAGAAAGAGUGCAGACAGGGAGAGCCAUAAUUCUACUGAAUCGUCAUCCUCUCCUGAAAACAUGGCAGACCAGCUGGGAAACACUGAACUAUAAGCACCGCUGAAGCACCUCACACAGCCUGCACUACUGAAUUCUCAUGUCUACACAAUUGGACCUUCCGUCACAUUCUUUAAAUUCACUUUGCACACUGAAAUAUAUACACUGUAAAUUGUGUCUUGUUUGCUCCCCCCAUUGUAUAUUUAUCCUUAAUGUUACUACGUACAUUCUAUUAAUUGCAAUGUUCUUGCCCCAUGCCUUGUGUAUUUAUUCCAUAGUUGUUAGUAAUGUCAGUGCUCACAGAGCUUUACUCUGUUGAGCAGUUUGAACAUACUAAAGCAAGUUCCUGUACUAGCAAUUAAAAGUGAUUCUGGU